rnacentral:rRNA from 1 species
UACAGAGGUGGCAAGCGUUGUUCGGAAUUACUGGGCGUAAAGGGCGCGUAGGCGGUCCCGUCAGUCCCUUGUGAAAUCCCCCCGGCUCAACUGGGGAACUGCGUCGGAUACUGGAUGGCUUGAAUUCGGGAGAGGGAUGCAGAAUUCCAGGUGUAGCGGUGAAAUGCGUAGAUAUCUGGAGGAAUACCGGUGGCGAAGGCGGCAUCCUGGACCAACACUGACGCUGAGUGAGCGAAAGCCAGGGGAGCAAACGGG